rnacentral:lncRNA from 1 species
CUAAUAAUAUUGAAUACAAGUUUGAAUGGAAAUGAAUAAAAUGUCUGACAAAAACUACAAAGGAACAGACUGAUAGAGACAGAGUAAGCGGUCAUGCGGUCGUUGGGCAGCUACCUCAAUACUUUGAUAGCUCGGAUAAGCAACAAUAGUAGCACUAGAUCUCUGGAGCACCUGGAUCUGCACACAAGGUGCAUGGAGUAUGGGGUGACUCUACCAACUCAGCGAGUGAUAAGCAUAUAUAAAAAAACCCGAAGAUAAAAGCACACGAAAUAACACAAUGUAAAGCUAACUAACAAUUUCUUGCC